AAGGGGCAGUAAUACCUGGGAACGUACCCUGAGGUCGGGGAUAGCUGCUGGAAACGGCGAGUAAUACCCGAUGAUCUCGGAAGAGCAAAGGCUUGCCGCCUUCGGAGCGGCCCAGGCGAUAUUAGCUAGUUGGUGAGGUAACGGCUUACCAAGGCUUAGAUGUCUAGCGGGUGUGAGAGCACGACCCGCGCCACUGGCACUGAGACACUGGCCAGACACCUACGGGUGGCUGCAGUCGAGAAUCUUCGGCAAUGAGCGCAAGCUUGACCGAGCGACGCCGCGUGCGGGAUGAAGGCCUUCGGGUUGUAAACCGCUUUGGUCCGAAAGAAAGGGUAAAACUUGAUCGAUCGGAGAAACAAGGACGGGCUAAGUUCGUGCCAGCAGCCGCGGUAAGACGAACCGUCCAAACGUUAUUCGGAAUCACUGGGCUUAAAGGGCGCGUAGGCGGCCGAGCGGGUCACGGGUGAAAUCCUCCAGCUUAACUGGAGAACUGCCCUUGAUACCACUGCGGCUCGAGGAAGGAAGGGGCAAUCGGAACUGUCGGU
rnacentral:rRNA from 1 species